rnacentral:misc_RNA from 1 species
ACCAGCCGUGAAGGUCGCCCCGAAAGGGCAACCUCUCACCCGGCCACCCUUGCUUACUUAACCUGUUGCUUUGGUGGGCCCGUCGCGAGGCCGCCGGGGAACUUGUUUCCUGGCCCGUGCCCACCAAAGUCUUAAUCGAACUCUGCAAUUUUGUUGUCUGAGUGUGAAAGCACAAUCUUUUA